CUAUGUGUGCAAAUUUAGAAGCAUAAUAAACAAAGAAUACAAGCCAUUUUAAAGGAAUAUAUAAAGAAAGUCCACAAAAUGUUAAGACACGAUAGGGUUAAAAUAGGGAUUUCAUCCACCGAGUUUUGGGAAACCCUGUAUUUAUGUCGCGGUGUUUCAUCUGCAUCGGCGUAUAUCUUCCUCUCAAAACCCUACAACCGCAAAACAAGUGAGAAAUCAAUCGCCACUCCAUUUGAUCUAAUCCAUUUAUUGACCGAAGAAAACGGAGAGUGGGGAGCAGACACCAGUUUUGGAGGUCAUUCAAAUCAAUAAGCAUAAUCUGAACUUGGUCAUUUGUUUGGCCGAUCAUGGAGCUGUGAGGGUUUAAUCGGAGCACCAAAGUCCAUCGGGUCAAAGGUUUCUACCAUGAUAUGACGAAAGGUCAGUGAUGAUUUUGUUUGGGGCAAUAGCAGUGGUAGGUAGUGGAAAAAUCGAAGCCUCAACAGUGGCGGCUUUAGGGUUCCUUCUUGAGUCAGUCGGGGGCGGUUAGGAUUCCGGCAGAGGAAUCCUCAGAUGGUGAAGUUGUGGUUUGGUGGUGACUAUGGUGGUGAUUACAGGUAGUCACGUAUUUUGCUUAUAUUUGUUGUUAUUUGAUCUUUACAAGGAACGAUGACAAGAAGGACCAACGACAGGGUGAACCGAAGCAAUCAUCAAAGAGUAUUGAGAUCUUUGAAGAUGAGGAGGAUGAUCAAUAUGUACCCAUGAUUGAGAUGGAAGACUUAUUUGAAGAACCGGUUGUUUAUAUUGACUUUUCUGACACCAAAAUCUGCUUGUUGAUGUUGAUCAUGUUGAUGAUAUCUACGCUAAUUACCGAAACAGGAGGGUUAUAGCAUGGUUUUACCAAACUAUAUAUUAACACAACAAUCUGACACGAGUGAGAAGAUGAGAGCCGUGCCUAUUGACUAACACAUUGAGGUAUUGGUGUUCUUUUGGUCCAGACUCCAGAUCAUCAUAGAAAAGAAUGGCAGUUGCAGCAAAUGAUUCGAUUUGGAACAAAUAAUCUAAAGUUACAGGCAAUCAUGCCUCGGUUUACGCAUGUUUAAAAGCCGGAUAAACGUGCAGAGCCGAUUACAUGUACCAGAGCUGGGAAACGCGCGUCUGGCGACACGUUACUUGGCCCCGGCACGCAGUGAACUAGCCGCUCGACACGUAACUGAGUCUGUCAUUCAGGCAUAAUGCGGCGUCUGUAACGCGUUUUUCUCGAGCACGUGUAACGGAGAUAGAAAACGCGUGUUCGAUACCAUGUAACGGGAGUAAACUGUCACCGGUAAGUGCUUAACGCAGCGCUUGACGCGAAACCGGCUUUGCAUGAGUAACCAGCGCCAGUUACGAGCAUUCAGGAAGAGUUGUUGGUGGCAGAGAGAUAAUGGUUCAGUUUGCCAAAUACGGGCCAGAUGUUGAAAGAAUAAAGCAUAUAUAAUUCACUGGGUUAGGCUUGAUCAGUAUCCAUCCACCGAAGAAGCUUACAAAGAUGGAGUCAAACGUUUGGAAAUAUUGGCGUCUAAAGCCAAAGUUAGCUCCGGACUCUGUUGAGUUAAGCACCCAACAAUUCGGAACUCCUUUAACCCAGUCGAGCAUGACCAGUGACGAAUACAAGUCAGCAGUAUUACAAGCGAAAGAACACAUUCUUGCAGGUGAUAUUUUCCAGAUUCUUUUAAGUCAGCGUUUUGAACGCCGAACGUUCGCAGAUCCUUUCGAGAUUUAUCGCGCGCUAAGAGCCGUGAAUCCAAGUCCAUACAUGACUUAUUUGCAGGCUCGGGUGUGUAUCUUGGUUGGUUCAAGGCCAGAAAUUCUGACUCGUGUGAAAUCUGUAAUAGUGCUCUCUAAUUGUUGGUUUUUAAACAUGUAACAAGUUUAUGUAAACAAAGUGAUCUCUAAUAGUGCUUACUAAUUGUUGGUUUUUAAACAUGUAACAAGUUUAGGCCAUAUGAGUUGAUAGCCGUUGCAACAUCCAAUGGAUUAUCAAUAUGGAAAAUGGCAUCAAACCCUGACCAUGAUCGAAGUUUUCCAGUUGAGAAAGUUGUCACGUUUCCUUGCCAUGACAAUGAGGUAUAUGUCCUCUUA